CAAAAUUUUUGUUCUUCAACAAACAUAUUAAUAGUUCUUCCUCCUUGGCUGCUCUUCCUUUGGUCCGCCACUUCCUCCACCGCGCUCUCUCUCUGUGUUUUUUAGCUUCAAAGAAGCAUCGUCGUUUAUGUGUAGUUGUUCUUUUUGUUGGUUUUCGUUUUAUUAUUUUGAUGGCAACUGCACCAGUAAAGUCUCAGCCUUUACACAAUUUCAACUUUCCGUUUCUUAAAUGGGGGACCCACGGAGGUGGUGGUUCUUCCACCUCCACUGCGGACCACCGACGUUCUCCUGAAUCCGACUCGGACCACGACCGUCUUCGACCGACGCGUGUCGGGUCACGCUCCACCCGCAUUCAACGCUUAUCUUUCCUUCCCCCACCAAAACCCAUCAAACAAAGCCACGGUGAAGAAGAAGAAGAACAACAAGAAGAGCAGCCGUUAAAGCCGCAAAAAAAUGAAGCUGAGGAAGAAGAGGAGGAGGAGACGGUGCAGAGACCGUGGAAUUUGAGGCCAAGGAAGGUCGUGGUUGAAACGACGGCGGUGGUGCCAACGGCGAUGGAGAAGGUGAGUGAAACGGCGGCGCCGAAGUCGAUGAGAUUAAGGGGUUUGGCUGAAAAUGGAGGGAUUGUAGAAAAGAAAGAAAAGAGGAAGUUUUGGAUAGCUUUAUCAAGGGAAGAGAUUGAAGAAGAUAUCUUUGUGAUGACAGGUUCAAGGCCCGCUAGAAGGCCCAAAAAAAGGCCCAAGAAUAUUCAGAAACAGCUUGAUACUGUUUUUCCUGGGUUAUGGUUGAUUGGUACAACGGCUGAUGCUUAUCGUGUUGCCGACGCUCCUGUUAAGAAAUAGAUCUGCUUUUAGAUGCUUAACAGAUUACCGGAUACAAAGGGGAUGGUUAUGGUGUUAGUGAAUUUGGAAUAUCUGGGAGCUUUGUAGGGUAUGGCACGUUGAGACCUCUAUUUUGAGGCUUCCCUACAUCGGUGGGGGGCAGAGUUUCAAGCUGUAUAGUUAAUUUGCAAUCCCUAAUCAGAUACUUGAUUUAUUAUUGAAGGCACUGCAUUCUUCCCUUGAGCUUCAAGUGGAGCACCUGAUAAGGUUUAAAAUUUAUUAGUCGGUUGCAUUUUUUUAUUCCUGUUUUCAGCACCCCUUAUGAUAUGUUUUUAGCUUUUAUUUUCUUGAUUGUCAUUGGCAAUUUGAGAUUUUGUCAUGGGGAAAUCUUUCUGCUGCCUAUGCAUUUUGAUUUUGCAAAAUUUCAUGGCAUUUCACAAGAAUAAACUCUUUAUCUCACUUAAAAAUUUGCAUAGCCUGAGUUUGAAGACUUUGUCAGCCCAUGCUUCAUAUCUAGGAUCUUCUUGGUACUUGUCAAAAACAGUAUCAUUCUUUGAAGGUUAAAUAAGUGUAAUGCUUGUUGGCUCUAUCAAUACCAGGAUUCACUUGCUAUCAUAUCUUACUCCAUAGGUGCUUGUUGUCAUUAAUAAUUAUUGUCUUACCUUAGAUUACAUCCCUUUCAAUAAUAUUCCCUGUAAUAAUAAUGGAAACUUGGGUUUCAGUAGCCACAGGAGUUUAAUAUCAUUUCAAUUGUCUGUCUUAAUUCUUGAAAGUUAGAUUAUGUAGGCUUUCAUAAUUUUUUAUGGCGGCUAGUUAGUUUCUCAGGGACCUUGUUUCAAAUUAAGACUGUAGGAAGCUUUUUCUAUUGAUGCCUUUUUAUUUUUGUCCAUUUUUCCUGACCUCUAAUUUUGUCCAUUUUUCCUGACCACUCUUUUUGUUAAUUUUUGAACUCUGGUUUCAUACGAGUUGUCUUUCUGCUUAUUGGUGUGUUUUUUUACCUUCCUUUUAUAAAUAAUAAAAUGGGGGUAACAGGAUUAAUCUCAACACCCCCUCUCUCCUAAAUGAUAAACAAAAGUUAUGCUGAUUUUCUCAUGAACUACUGUUAAAUGUGCCAGUUUUACUUGGAGGGGGCUCGUUUCUUGAAAAUGCACUUUUCCAAUAUUUUUGCGUGCAUAACUGCUUGGUGAAGUAUUAAGUAAUCAGUGCUAAAUAUGAGUGGAAAUGAGAGUUUCCAAAUCCAUUACCAGCCAGCCCUUGUAAGACCUUCUAAUACUUUUUCUGUGUCAUGUUCUUUUUGAAGGAUUUGACUCUGAAUUGCUCUGGUGAACCUUUUUAAGCUGAAGCAGAAUAAUUCUGUCAUAUACGUUUGCUCAUUUUCUUUUACUUUAUUUGAUUGGGAUUUCCUUACUGGCAAGAAAUCUUUUUUUUUUUUGCAUUUUCUAGUUAAUAAAUUACAGGCCUAGUCAUUACUGAUUAUUGAAAAGAAUGGGCUCUCUCUUAUAAAGUUGGGAAUGGGGUUUAGCCAUGAGAAGUGUAUCUGAUUGAUUCAAGUUCUUUAAAGGCAUCUCACUGUUUCUGUAUGAAUAACUUAAUACUUUUACAGUGUUACAACAAUUUAUUUAGCAGAUUAUACCCUAGUUUGUGA